UACGAAGGGGGCUAGCGUUGCUCGGAAUCACUGGGCGUAAAGGGUGCGUAGGCGGGUCUUUUAAGUCAGGGGUGAAAUCCUGGAGCUCAACUCCAGAACUGCCUUUGAUACUGAAGAUCUUGAGUUCGGGAGAGGUGAGUGGAACUGCGAGUGUAGAGGUGAAAUUCGUAGAUAUUCGCAAGAACACCAGUGGCGAAGGCGGCUCACUGGCCCGGUACCGACGCUGAGGUGCGAAAGCGUGGGGAGCGAACAGG
rnacentral:rRNA from 1 species